GAUUACUUCGGUAAGAGCGGCGGACGGGUGAGUAACGCGUGGGUAACCUACCCUGUACACACGGAUAACAUACCGAAAGGUAUGCUAAUACGGGAUAAUAUAUUUGAGAGGCGUCUCUUGAAUAUCAAAGGUGAGCCAGUACAGGAUGGACCCGCGUCUGAUUAGCUAGUUGGUAAGGUAACGGCUUACCAAGGCGACGAUCAGUAGCCGACCUGAGAGGGUGAUCGGCCACAUUGGAACUGAGACACGGUCCAAACUCCUACGGGAGGCAGCAGUGGGGAAUAUUGCACAAUGGGCGAAAGCCUGAUGCAGCAACGCCGCGUGAGUGAUGAAGGCCUUCGGGUCGUAAAACUCUGUCCUCAAGGAAGAUAAUGACGGUACUUGAGGAGGAAGCCCCGGCUAACUACGUGCCAGCAGCCGCGGUAAUACGUAGGGGGCUAGCGUUAUCCGGAUUUACUGGGCGUAAAGGGUGCGUAGGCGGUCUUUCAAGUCAGGAGUGAAAGGCUACGGCUCAACCGUAGUAAGCUCUUGAAACUGGGAGACUUGAGUGCAGGAGAGGAGAGUGGAAUUCCUAGUGUAGCGGUGAAAUGCGUAGAUAUUAGGAGGAACACCAGUUGCGAAGGCGGUUCUCUGGACUGUAACUG
rnacentral:rRNA from 1 species